rnacentral:rRNA from 1 species
UACAGAGGGGGCAAGCGUUGUUCGGAAUUACUGGGCGUAAAGGGCGCGUAGGCGGCCUGCUAAGUCGAACGUGAAAUCCCUGGGCUCAACCCAGGAACUGCGUCCGAUACUGGUUGGCUUGAAUCCGGGAGAGGGACGUGGAAUUCCGGGUGUAGCGGUGAAAUGCGUAGAUAUCUGGAGGAACACCGGUGGCGAAGGCGACGUCCUGGACCGGCAUUGACGCUGAGGCGCGAAAGCCAGGGGAGCAAACGGG